rnacentral:rRNA from 1 species
GUGCAGCAGGCGCGAAACCUCCGCAAUACACGAAAGUGUGACGGGGCCAUCCCGAGUGCCGUCCGCUGAGGACGACUUUUCCCCAGUGUACACAGCUGGGGGAAUAAGGAGAGGGCAAGCCUGGUGUCAGCCGCCGCGGUAAUACCAGCUCUCCGAGUGGUGGGGACGCUUAUUGGGCCUAAAGCAUCCGUAGCCGGCUGGGCAAGCCCUCCGUUAAAUCCAACGAUUCAAUCGUUGGGCUGCGGGGGAUACUGUCCAGCUUGGGGGCGGGAGAGGCCGACGGUAUUCCCGGGGUAGGGGUGAAAUCCUAUAAUCCCGGGAGGACCACCAGUGGCGAAGGCUGUCGGCUGGAACGCGCCCGACGGUGAGGGGAUGAAAAGCUGGGGGAGCGAACCGGAUUAGAUACCCGCGUAGU